GAUGAACGCUGGCGGCGUGCCUAAUACAUGCAAGUCGAGCGAACAGACGAGGAGCUUGCUCCUCUGACGUUAGCGGCGGACGGGUGAGUAACACGUGGAUAACCUACCUAUAAGACUGGGAUAACUUCGGGAAACCGGAGCUAAUACCGGAUAAUAUAUUGAACCGCAUGGUUCAAUAGUGAAAGACGGUUUUGCUGUCACUUAUAGCUGGAUCCGCGCCGCAUUAGCUAGUUGGUAAGGUAACGGCUUACCAAGGCAACGAUGCGUAGCCGACCUGAGAGGGUGAUCGGCCACACUGGAACUGAGACACGGUCCAGACUCCUACGGGAGGCAGCAGUAGGGAAUCUUCCGCAAUGGGCGAAAGCCUGACGGAGCAACGCCGCGUGAGUGAUGAAGGUCUUCGGAUCGUAAAACUCUGUUAUUAGGGAAGAACAAAUGUGUAAGUAACUAUGCACGUCUUGACGGUACCUAAUCAGAAAGCCACGGCUAACUUCGUG
rnacentral:rRNA from 1 species